ACCGAGUCAACCAGUGCAGGAUUUUCUAGGUAGACUUUGGGUAGACCAAUCUACUUGGAAUUAGAGCUCCCAGUUGGGCUGGAGCUAUGUAUUUGAAAUUUCAAAGAGUUACAGGCAAGGGAGCGUCAGAACAGUUUUCAGGCCAAUGGUAGGUGAUGUUGAAAUGACAAUCAGGGUGGACUAAUAGAUAAAGGAGAGACUGGUGUUGAGAGAUGUGAAGAGGGCUCUGUAGAAAUCCAGGCUGGGGAUGAUGAGGCUCUAGACCAGACCAACGGAAAUGGAGAAUCACAAACAAGUAGAUGAUUUUAACUGUGGGGCAACUUGUCAAGCUUCAGUCUUUCCUGCCACCUGUUGCCGAAGCUUACCUAUCCCAUGUCCUAUGUACAGAGGAUUCUGUUCUUAACCAGCGAUAUUUAUCAUUAGUUAUUCUGAUGACUGACUACACCUGCUAGUGUGUUCUCAGGAUCUCCAGGAGGCUGACCUUGGAUAUCAGUAGAUUCACUUGUCUCCUGGCUCCUGGGUAGAGUCAACCCAGCACUAAGCAGAAAGAAAUUCUGCUGACAAUAGGACCCUAUCUCUCCUUCUGUGGCCAGGUGUCACAUUGCCCUGCCCUGUCCAAGCCUUCCUUGACUGAGUCCUGCACAUGCUUGGUGCAGGGAAGAGGCUGCUCCAUCAAGGAAGGGCAAUGUUAGGAGAUUCGUGGGACCUCGGAUUAGCUCUCAAACCUUGAUAUUCCCAGCUCUGAAGAUUCCACUUUGACAGUGCUACCUGUGACUUCCAGGACUGGUGGUGGUUAUAAUGCUAGAUUGGUUCCCUGGGUCCAAGCGGAGCCCCUUUUUCCUCUUGACUUCCCUUCCUUUGCCCAGGCUCCAGUUGUCUUUGUCCCUCCUGCUUGGCCAUCCUGGAAGAAUGUGAUGCGGUGAAGCUAAGGCCAGAUGAAUUGACUAAGAGAAGUCUGCCCAGGGCUCCGCCUCAAUCCCUCCUCCUCUUCCUCCCCCAUCCUGUGCUAAAGUCCUUGUUCAGGUUUCACCUUCUGAGCAAACUUGCAUGUGAGAGCCUGGAUCGUUCUCUGGGGAUGCGGAUGAAGAGCUCCGAGGACAGAGACAGUGCCCGGGGGCAACCUAGGUCAAGUGUGACAGUGAGACUUCUGAGCUGCAUGGUUGACCUGCUCUGAUAGGUUGAAGACAAGUAAUUGGGCAGAAAGUCAUGCACCAGGAAGAUAAAAAGAUAACUUCCAAAGAGGCGGCAGGGAAAGCGAGUCGAGGCCUACAAUGAAAACAGCUAGACGAGGAUGGAGGAUCGCCUUGCAUUUGGGGAAGUGAACACUCUCAAGUUUGUAUUCCCCACUGUCUGAACUGCCAAUGAGUUAUUUGAUGAAUUAAUAAAGACAUAAAUAAAGGAGUACUUGUUGGGACAGGAAACAGGAGAGCUCCAGCAUCUGAGCUUCAAAUAAGGUCACAGUGUUCUAGGCAAAGCUCCCUGUUGAUGUACAUCUCUCAUGCAAGAUUUAGAUCACCUCUUUUCGGGCAGAGCUCCAUGGAAACACCGCCCAUGAUUUCUGAAAUGGAGUCUGAUUGGGUCCCCGUAAUGCCUGGCUGGAGUGGACAGCAAUCUCUGCAGUUGACACAUUGCUGGACAGUUGGCAAGCCUGAGACUACCAGAACCUACUCCUUGAAUGUGACAUGCUGGCUCUUUGGUACAGAAGAUAAGAACACAAGAGAUAAAGGGUACAAGUGGAGAUUGUCAUCAUGCCUGAUAAUUGGGGGUCAUGAAAGCCCAGAAGAUUCAGAGCUGCUCCUUGUCAGAAUAAGCGGGGAAGCUUCCUGCUCAGGAAUGAGGUGCAUUUGGAUUGGAUGGGUAGCAUGCAGAUGCUUGAAGCUCGCUGAGGAGUGAGGAGACAUGAAGCAGAGUGCACAGACACUGGAUGGGACCAGUGAGCAGCUGAGCAGGAGAACUACAGCACAAGGCAUAACUGAGUCCCAGUUAAAGGGAAGAGAUUGUUCUGUUUUUAUCAUUGCUGUUUCAAAUUGGAUUUGUUGAGGAUUCCUGAAAUCAAUUAUUUUAAACUCAAUUUCACUAAUGAGAGACAUGAAGUUAACAACUAAGAUCAACUUGCCAGCUUCUGUGUCCAGGCCUCCCUGCAGGAGGCAGAAAACCAGCAGGAUAAAUUAAUAGGCAGAACUCAAAACAAACAAAUAAACAAAAGCACUGUGGAAAUUCAAGAAAAAUCUUCAGUCUUCUCCAUCCACCUACUUUGUGGUCAGCAAGAAGAUUAUGGUUGAUGUAAAAAACAAAAUAAACAAGCCAAAAAAAACAAAACAAAAACCCUUAAAGUUAAGAGCAUUUGCAUCUUCAAAGAGGUUAAGUAAUAUUUGUCCUGAGGGUCUCUUAAAUGAGGCUCAAGUGAAUUGUCAUUUAGUAAUAAGUACUGUGCACAGGAAAUUUGCCUUCCUCUGUAGUUGAGGCUUUGACUAUGGGUUGGAGAGCAAGAGAUAUUGCAAGGAAAGUUUGGAAGCUUGAAUCCCACAAAUAUCAAAUCCUCAUUCCAACCAGGUAAAAUUUUCUCUGAUACCACUUUGCUGGGUAAGUGAAGUGGGGAACAGUUGCUGAGGACACUUACAAUAUUCAGAAGAAGUUAUCCAGCCAACCCUUAUGCUGACUACAAAUACCACAAAGCCAUCAUUGAGCUAGCUAAGGCAUAUACUACCAAAUUUAUUUAUUUAUUUAUUAUUUUUAUUUUUUAAUCUUUUUUAGUUGUAGUUGGACACAAUCUCUAUUUUACUUAUUUAUUUUAUGUGGUGCUGAGGAUCGAACCCAGGGCCCCCGUAUGUGCUAGGCGAGCGCUCUACCACGGAGCCACAAUCCCAGCCCUAUUUAUUUAUUUUUAAUAAGUUAUUAAUUUAUUUAUGUUUUCAUCGGUGCAUUAUAUUCAUACAUAAUAGUGGGACUCGUUGUGACAUAUUUGUACAUGCACAUGAUAUAAUUUGGUGAAUUUUAUUUCCCAGGACUUUCCCUUUCUUUCCCUCCUCCCUCCCCCGAUCUCCUUCCUCAACACUACUGUUCUCUUAGGCAGUAGGGAGAAAAUUAUGUUCUUAAAUAAGUAAUUAACCAAUAGACAGAAUAUUUGGAAUAAAGGAAACUGAAUACAUAGCUAGUCCAAUUCUUCAAUAUAAUCCAUUCUGUGAUUCUUCCUAACCCACCCUCUCAAAAGCCUGAGUAUUUUCAAUAUUCUCCAAUGUCUUCAUCACUUUCCAAGGCUGUUUCCUCUUCUGACUAGAUCCUGUUAGGAUUUGGAUCUGGAGUGUCCACCAAAGGCUCAUGUGUUGAAGGCUUGGUUCCCAGUGCAGCAGUGUUCAGAAAUGGGGCUCUUGGGAAGUGAUCAGAUCAUGAGGGCUCUGACCUCAUCAAUGCCUUAAUCCACUGAUUGGUUCAUAACUGAAGGUGUUAUGGGGAGAUGGUGGAAAGUUCAGGAGGUGAGACCUAGUUGGAGGAAGUAGGUCACUGAGAGGGUAUUUCUUGUCCCUGCCCCAUCCCCACUCUCUCCCUUGUGUCUCUGCUUCCUGAAUGCCAUGAAGUAACAACUUUCUUCUGCCAUGGCCUCUGCCAUGAUGUUUGUUUCACUAUAGAUCUAAAGGCCACGCACCCAGCUCACCAUGGACUGAAACCUCUGGAACCAUGAGCCUUUCCUCCUUUGUUUUUCUCAGGUCACAGCAACCAAAGAUGGGGCUGACAAACACAGAUCCUUUUUUUCUUUAUAGUACUGGGGAUUGAACCCAGGGACGCACACGUGCUAGGAAAGUGUUCUACCACUGAGCUAAAUCACCAGCCCUUUUUUAAAAAAAAAAAAAAAAUUCAUAUUUAUUUUUUAGUUUUUGGUGGACACAACAUCUUUUUAUUUUUUUUUUUUUAUUUUUAUGUGGUGCUGAGGAUCGAACCCAGCGCCCCACGCAUGCCAGGCAAGCGCGCUACCGCUUGAGCCACAUCCCCAGCCCUCACCAUCCCUUUUUAAGGGUUUGUAGUGACAAGAUCCCACCAAGUUGAUCAGGCUGGCCUCAAACUUGAGAGUCUCCUGAUUCUGCCUCCCAAGGAGCUGGAAAUACAGACAUGAGCCACUGUGCCAGGAAAUACAGAUUCUUUUCAAUAGUUCAUUAUUCUUCUCUUUAUGUUCUCAUCAUACAGUACCUCCAUCUCUCCUGGAACAUUUAUCACAAUAUAUUAUUUGUUUAUUUGCUUGUCUUCCUCCAUUGUUUUAUAAGUGCCCUUCAGAUCAGUAAUUCUGCUGUCUUCCUCCCUUGCAUUUCCGGUGCUUCAGACAGUGUCUAGGUUGUAGAAGGUAUAGAAGAUAUCUAAUAAAUAUUGUUCCAAUUCAUUUGGAAAGCUGUCACUUCUUGUCACUAGCCACGAUUCACUAGCUUCCCAGGCAGCCUAUCCCAUGGGUGACCUGUUCUCUCUGGUAGAAAGUUCUUCCUUAUAGGGAGCCAAGCCAUGACUUCAUGAUUUUUACUCAGUGUUCUUUUCUUUAGUCCGAAAGACCCUCACACAACUGCUCAGGGGCCCGCAUUUGUAUUCAGCCUCCCAGGCAUUUGAGAUUACAAUCAUGACAUACUUGAGUCUUCUCAUGUCCAUGCUAAAUUCUGUCUGUUCCUUUACUUUGUAUGAAUUAAGAUUUCUUUUAUCCACAAAAUCAAGGCAGCAGAAGCCACUACAGAAAAUAAAUGCAAUCAAGAAUAUGGUAGUGGACAUAUCAAGUUGAAAUUGGGAGAGACUAUAAGUCAUGUCAACUGAUCUCAUUGUUUUUUUUUUUUUUUCCUGGUAAUUUCUUAAUUUUCCUUUAUCAAAAAGGCACAAUCUGGGACUUUAAGGAGGACGGUUGAUUAGACAGUAGUUCUAUGGGGCUUCUGCUAAGAACACAAAAGCUGAUAAUAAAAACCUGGAAUUUAGUUCCUGGUUUAAAGAAUAGUCAAUGAAAAUAAAGGUUUCUGAAAUACAAGGUGAAAAGCAAGCAAGUACUUAAGGAAAUUAGUUGACUUCGUUCUGAUAACACAGCAAGUAAUUUGGACAUGUUAGCAAAUGGUCAGUAACUUCAAAAUAAAAAAAUCUAAUUACUACUGGAUUUCAUAGCUCUUCUUUCCUAGCCAAAAACCAAAAAUCUUCCUAUGUAUACACUUUAAGAUAUUCUCCAAUUGGUACACUUCACUUCAAAAUGGUUUGUUAUUAAUUCAAAAACAUUAAUAUACCCACUAUGUGUUAAGUUUAGUAAGUAGAUACUGGAGAUAUAAAGUUGAAUAGGGCACAGAUUUUGUUCUCAAAAAUCUGAUGUUCCCUCCAUAGAUCAACACAACUGUAUAAACACACAAUUGUGUACAAUAUGUAAUAGAGAAACAUACAAGAUGACAAGAUGCUGUGAGAUAUUGAAGAAAGGGAACUUUUAAUAUUUUCUGGGGUAGCCAUGAAAGACAUCAUAGGAAAUAAUAUUUGAACCUACUUUAGUAUUAUUAUGUAGAUAUAAUAUGCAUAAAAUUGCACAGUUGUGACUGGUUUUGUAAUGAGACAAUAAUACUUGUCAAAAAAAAAAAAAGCUGGCCAGUCUCUUUUAACUUUAUAACAGGCAUUUAUUUGCUUUUAUUAUUGAAUACAAUCUUCCUGAAAAUCUUCUGAAAGUCAUAGAUUUAUUAACCACAGGGAGAAAGACAAACAUGAAUAAAAUAUGUCUCCUGUUCCCAGGAGGCACAGUGAAGUGGGGAACACAGACACACACAUGCCAAGACAACACGGAAGGCAGGACAGGCUCUUGAAAAACACACAGGCUCGAGGACAAGGGGAAGAGAAAUUUCUAGAUCCAGCUUAGGCUCUCUUUAUUCAUUCAAUAUUUAUCGAGCAACACAAAUAUAAUCCUUCAAGAGCUUGCAGAUCAAACACUGUCACCAUGGGGCUUCGAGCAGUUACUCCCAUUUUGUAGGAGAUGUUUCACGAUAAACAAAAUAAAGUCUUUACUCUCACUGGUGUCUAGAAUGCACACGCACAGGUCUUAAUGGGCCAUCUCUCUGCAGAUGAACCAAAAAAGAAUGGGAGGAGACUGAGAACUGAAAACUGAAUUUUCCUGUCUCAAGAUUCUGGGUUGUUGAAUUUGGAUUAUCAUGUAGGAAGGGCUGAUUUUUCAUUCCAAUCCAAAGGUACUGUUGUUGACAAGUAGUAUUAGAGAUGGGUGGAGUAGUUCUGAUGUUAAUGAAAUUACCAGGUAAAACAUACUCACAUGAUAUGGAAUGAUUAUUCUCUGCUCCAAUUUCCAAUCAGAUGGAUCAACUUUUCAUAAUUUUCCUUUUAUUUGGGGGGGAGAUCUCUUGAUGUAUUGUUAAAAUACAAAGAUAUUUAUAAGCCACAAAUGUAUUGUUGUUGUUAUUUUUGAUUUGUUUUACAGUGCAGGAUAUUGAACAUGCUUGGCUGAGCUCUGCUCCAGCUUUAACCUCAAGUUUUAAAUAUGAAUCUAGUUUCUUUUUUGUUCCAAUCAAUGUCCUGCAUAUAUGCUGUAUUAGUCUGCUUUUCAUUACUAUAGCAGAAUACCUCAAAUGGGAUUACUUUGUAGAGCAAAAAAGGUUAUUUACCUCAUAGUUCAAUGUUCUGGAGGUUGAAAGGCCCACAUCUGAUGAUAGUCUUCUGGCUGGCAGAGUUCCAAGGCAGCAUAGAACAUCAUGUGGUAAGAGACAGAACACACAUGUGUAUCUCUUUGAUCUCUCUCCCUUUUAUUACAAAACCACUGAUAUUCAAUCAUGAGGGCUCCACUCUGAUAACCUUAUCCAAACUUAAUCUCCUCCUAAAGGGCUCACUUCUAAACACCAUAGUCAGAUUAAGUUUCCACCCUCUUAAUAUCCAUAAUGGGGAUUAAAUGUCAACCGUGAACCUGGAGGGGGGACACAUUCAAACCACAUCCAAGCCAUAGCAAUUUGCCUGAGCAUGAAAAUUGGCAGGAAUUUUUCUGUUUGGAAAAGAUGGCAGGAAGAACAUCUCGGGCUCAGGACACAGUACAAGCAAUACCCUGGGGAAAGAAAUAUAUACGCUAAGUUCAAAAGACCAUGAGUAACCUGUACGGAAUGCAGGUUCAAUCCAGGAAUAAAUCAAGAGAAAUAAUUUGGGAAGAGAGGUGAGUCCAGAUUUUGCAAGAUGUUGGGUUUAAGAAUCUGUUUUUGGUUCUUUAAUUUUGUAGGAAGGGCCUAGAAAUGUUUUAGAAAGAUUAAUCUGGAUGUUUUGUACAGCAUAGGAGGAAGCAAAGCGAUAUUGUCACAAGUAACUUGCAAGUCCACAGCCAGAAGUAAAUACAUCCAUCUAUUCACUUUCAGCCAAAUAGGUUUCCAUUGUACUCCUGUUGUACUUCUUUGUCAAACAGCAGGUGACCCCAUUUCAAGUAACUUCUUAUUUCCUGUUGAGAGAGAGGAAUUCAGCCCUCCAUGUGAGUGGGCUCAGAGCAGCAAGCAGAGAGUCCCCUGCUACUAUGAGACAGAUAUCCAGCUUGCCCCUGCCAUCUCAAUUGCUUACUCUGGGGUGAGAAGGCAGAGAACUCACCGGCCAUAGGGGUAGUCCUUCUUUGUUUUGCACAUUGUGUCAAAACCUGCCCAUUGACUGACGUAAUUUCAACAUUUGCUUCCAUUUCUUCAACAUACAACUUUGAAAGUGAUUUUGUGAAUGUAAUAAGAAAAAAACAAUCUAAAACUAGCUGUAUGGUGCAAACUACAUCAUGUUGCAAAACAAAUGUAUUCCAAGAAAAACACCACUAUAGCAUCUCAUACAUGUCAAAGCAUAAGUUUCUGCAUUGUAAAAAAAAUCGAAUCCACACAUUUUAACUUUGUAUCAUGAAAUAACUCCAAGCUUACAGAGGAGUUGCAAAAAUAUCUUUUUCCUGAGCUGUUUGUGAGUAUAUCAUAGACAUAAGUGCGCUUUACCACUAAAUACUUCAGUGUGUAUUUCCUGAAAACAAGAGUAUUCUCUUAACAUAACCAGAGUAUAGUUAGCAAAGGCAAGAAAUUAAUAUUGAUAUAAUAUUAAUGUUAACCUACAGGCCUUAUCAGAUUUUACCCACUAAAGAACACCUUCCCUGCCAUUUGUUGACAUAGGUUUCCAAUGUUCCCUUCCUGCACCAAUUGCCUUUUUUUUUUUGAUGAUGAUAUUCCUUUUAUUUUAUUUUUUUAAUACUUUUUUAGUUGUCAAUGGACUUUAUUUUGUUUAUUUAUAUGUGGUGCUGAAAAUUGAACUCAGGGCCUCACACAUGCUAGUCCUCACACACUCUACCACUGAGCCACAACCCCAGCCCUCCUUUUAUUUUUGAUGGGACAGUAGUAUUCGUGGGUGUUAGUGUUUGGCAAUGUUUAUUACACAAAAUAAAAGAUGUCAUCUUUAUAUCAUUUCCCCUAAAUUUAUUGAUUCAUUAUCCCAGCUUAACAUUUGAUGAACAUUUAAAUUAUUUCCAGAUUUUUCAAAGUUCAAACACUACUGCAGUAAACAAACUUUAAUAUCUAUCUUUUCAUUAGCAUGUGGUUAUUUCUGUGGAUAUAGCCAAAGAAACAGAGGGGGAGGGGUGGUUGAAGGAAGGCACACAGCUGAUAACUCUCUAAGACACGGGCUAUGUAGAUAGCCACUGUGAGAACUGUUUUGGGUUCCCAUAUCCUAAAUAAGCAUAUUCCCAAUUGAGCAGUUGCCAGGAUUAAAGGAUUAUCAACAGAUGUGAAAAGGCACAUAACUCCACCCUCAGCUUUCUCCAGGGAUGAACUUUUUAUUGCUAUGCCUUGGAAAACAAUCAGCUUCCCCCCUUCAAUAUCAGGGUAACAUUUAGGAAUGUCUAUGGGCUCUGAGCCUUACCUCAAUCCCCACACAUCUCUUUCAACUCCACUGCUGAAGGGAUGUUUUCCCCACGCAGCUAGUAUUUUGGGCAACCUGAACAGGUCAUGGAAGCAAAAAGUAGCUAGCACACAGUAACUUGACUUCAAGGUUCAAUACAGACGUCAUCAUCUUCAGCAGGGAAUGUUACCUUUUCCUUUUAUUCAACUUUUGUGAUACUUUAUUUGAGGUGUUUGAUAAAAACAUCUUCGAACUUUCUGGAUUUUUCUUUGAAGGAUCCUGUGGAAGAGGUGAACAGUUCCGAGUCCAUUUUCCAGGAAGGAGGAGCUGAACACAUCCAAUUCCAUAAUCUGGAAGAGAUUUACAUCCUCCUACCCAAAACUGCAUGUAUAAUCCUAGAAUUUUAGAGUUGAAGGGGCUUUGGGCCAAACUGCCCAUUUUACAGAUGAGGGAAAUGAGCCCAACCAGAGGAAACCACUCUCCUCAAGUCUCUCUGUGAGCCAGAGUCAUGGUCUCUAUAAGGAGUUGAUCUCCUGAACCUUUAAGAAGCAGUCCACUGGGAUGUAAGAAUGUUAGAUCUUCUAUUUAUAUAAUUUUUGAAAUAAUUAUAGAUUCAUAAGAAGUUGCAAGAACAAAAUAGAGAGGGAGGGACAGAGAGAGAGAGUGAGUGAGCAAGGAAGGGAAAGGUUUGCUUGUACCCUUCACCUAGUUCUUCUCAGUGGUCACAUCUUGCAUAACUACAGUCCAAUAGCAAAACAAGGAAAUCAACAUUGGUACAAGCCACGGAAUUUGUUCAGAUUUCCCAAGUAUUUACAUGUACUCAAGCGUGUCUGUGUGCAUUUCUAUGCAAUUUUUUUUCCAAUUAUAGAUUCAAGUCCACCAAGAAGUUCUAUUUAUGCUUUAAAUCUAAAAAAUAAAGAAAAGUUUACCAAUGCUUAAUAAGUGGAUGAGUGCUGCUGCCCAUAUUGGUGUGCAUAUGUGCAUUAGAUAAUUGUAUACUUUAUAAUAUACCUGAGACAUCUUGGAGGGAGAACAGAAAUUGAAGAGUGUGGAAAUCCACAAUUAUUAUUUUUUAGGCUCUUAGAGUUUUGUGAUAUUCAUCAGUUAACAUGAGCCUCUUUGAGUGGAUGUAUGGAUUAUAUUAUCCAGUUUCCACUAAUCUUUUCCAAAUGGAUUCCAGUGAGUUAAAAUUAUUUCUCCCUUAAAAGGUUUCUACAAUCAGUGAAUUGAAGAUACUAUCUAUGCCAGAAGAACAUCCAGAUACCAAAGAAAUGGCAGAGUAGCCCCUUCUAUGCCGGGUGCAUUACAAGAAAAAGCAAUAACCCAUUUGACCUGAGCUAUCAGCAAGUCAACCAAAAAAAACAACAAAAAUGAUCCAGAAGGUAUUUUGAAAGUGGAUUUUUUUAAAACCAGUGUUUCACAAAAGUAUACAUCAUGUAAAGAGAUAUAGUCAACGGUGGGGUGAAGCCAAUAGUUUAAAGAUAUUCUGAACACGCUGAGCAUGGUGGCACAUGCCUGUAAUCCCAGCAGCUCAGGAGGCUGAGACAGGAGGAUCAUGAGUUCAAAGCCAGCCUCAGCAACUUAGCAAGGCCCUGAGCAACUCAGAGAGCCCCUGUCUCUAAAUAAAAUAUAAAAAAGGGCUGGGGAUGUGGCUUAGUGAUAAAGAGUCUCUGGGUUCAAUCCCUCAUAAAGAAAAAAAAAAAGAUAUCCUAAACAUAUCUUCACAAAAUUUUCAGUGAUAUUUAAAGUCAUGUGAUUCUCAGUAGGAGACAAAGUACAUUACACUAAGGAAACAAUUCAUUUUACAAUGUGACAGCAAACUAAAGUGUAAUCUUUUGCCCUCUUCCUAUUUGACCCACCCUGGGUAUAACAUGAUGCCUGCCCCCAGGAUUGUUGGAGGAUCCAAGAAUAUGUGCAGCUUUGUAAACACUAAAGUUCUGUACAAAUAGGAAUUACUAUUAAUUAUUCUAACAUGAGAUUUCAGCAGAAAAUUAAUUGAACAGCAAUGUUAUUAUCUCACAAGCAAAUAUUUGAACAGGGAUCUUUUGUUUGUUUGUUUUGGUAGUCUAGGUGGAGAAAUAAUUCUUUGAGGCAGAAAAAUAUAUUUAGGGGUAUCAGUGUGGUAAAGUGUCUCCAGACCUAAAUUUGGAUGUGAACUUACUACUGCUAUGACCUUGAGCAAGAUGCUUAAUCUCUCCAGUGUGUUUCCUUAUUUGCAAGGUGACUAAUACAUUCGUUUCGUAGCAUCACUAUGAGGAUUGAGUGAGACAAUAUAUGUCAAGAGCUUGGCAUAGUACCUGAUACAUUGUAGUUCUGAAACCACAUCAGUUAUCUUUCUGCUUCCUCUUUCCUUUUAGGUAGCUCCCGAAACAUGCUUAACAUAGGUUAAGCUUCCAUUCUCCCAACAUCGCAUCCAUUUCUUGUCCUUCCAAACAUACCAGAAUUUGUUUGGAAGGCUGGACUGAUUAUUUUAAUUUUUUCAGGAAACCCCCCAAAUUUAAUAUUUUCAUGCUAUAAAGACUGAUUAAAUGACUGAUUGAAAUUAAUGAUCUCAAACAAGAAAUAAAUGUAGGGCAUCAGAGCAAGGUCCUUUGGUCUUAAGAUUUCAGACACCAAUUGCUGCUAAAGGAUUUUUAGAAUGCCUCCCUACCCGAGCCCUUGGUGGACAGAUAUAAUAUAAAUAUAAUAACCCUUUGAUUUGCACAGAGCAUUCCAGUCUCCAAAGCACUUUCACAUCCAUCACUCCUGUUUGAUCCUCACAAUAAACCUUUGAGUUACUUAGGCAGAUAUUUCUAAAGAGAAAUAUUAGGCCCAGAAAAAUAAAGUGGCUGAUUUAAGGCUACUAGGCCUGGCACCAGACACAAUGCUUGUCCCAGCCAUCAUGUUCUGAGCCCAAGCUUUGUGCCUGGUACAUUAUUUUGUUCAGUCCUCUGAAAGCCCUUGAUUCAGUUUCUCUUGAUGCUGAAAAAUAUCUCUUGAUGUUAAAAACUAUAACAAAACUUAGUGGCAUAAAACAAUUUUAUGAUGAGCAUGGAUUCACUGGGUCAGGAAUUUCAAAGAAACCAUAAGAAGGGACAAUGUGUCUCUUUUUCCUGAUGUUUGGGGCAUCAGCUGGAAGAUGUAAAGGUCAGGGGCUCAACAGCUGUGCAAAGAAUCAUCUAGAAGCAUCUUCAUUCACAUGUCUAGAAGUUCGUGCUGUCUGCCUGCUCAGUCUGAAACAACAAUAUGUGACAUUUCUUUAUCACCUGGGCUUCCUCACAGAAUGGUAGCCUCAGGAUAAUCAUACCCCUUACACAGAGAAUCAGUCUUCUGUGUCCCCCUCACCAAAAAAGCAAACAUGGAAGCUGGUUAGCCUUUGAACAGCUAGCUCUGAGGUCAGAUCAUUCCAUUUUCUGUACAUAUUAGUAAUAAGUAAGUUAUGACUUCAUCUAUAUCCCAGGGGAAGGGGUACAAAUUCCACCCUUGGAUGGAAAGAGAGCUCAUGGAAGGAAGAGUGCUAUUGAAAGUGUCCCCUAAAAGUUUAAUUGCAAUGUAGUAGUUUCAAGAGGCAGGACUUCAAGAGAUGAUUAGGUCAUGAGGGUGGAAGCCUCAGGAAUGGAUUAAUUCCAUUAUAACAGAAGCAAGUUAAUUCUCUCAAGAAUAAUAAAUAUAAACUUGGCUCAUUUUUUUUUU